AGCACAACAGCGCCUCUUUCCACCUUCCUCUGUCACCUUCUUUAUUUUCAAAAACCUCCGAGCUUUGACAUCUUUCAAUCAAAAGAUGCUGCACCAUUUUGGUGCAAAUAACGUCUCUUUCUUUCCUCUUCCACAUUUGUGCUUGGUGACCCGUGAAUCUUUAAGGUCUCAGUCAAAAUCAUGACAUUUCGGACAAGAAGUUGAACCAAUUCACGUGAGCACCCAGCUCGUCUCAAUGUUCGGAUUCAAACGGGCUAUGACUCGAUUUUGAAUCCCUAAUUUUGAAAUCCUGCUCAAAAACUCGAACCCUAGCUCUACAUCUCUUAUAAAUACUUGCAUUUGGGAGAGUUUAGAAUAGGAAGGGGCCGCCACCUCUAUUUCCCUUCCAAUAGGCUUCAGUCGCCCUCUUUACUGAAAUUUAUUGUUUACUGCUGUUUCUAACUUCAAUUUAUUGUUCUUGCUCACUCCUCAUCUCUCAAUAAUAAGUUUAGAAAUACAAGUCCUAAAUCACGUUCUAUUUAUUUCCUCAUCCUUGAGGAUCUCUGUCGUCUUUCUUCUUGGUCGUAGCAGAUAUUCUCUUACUGUUCUGGUCGAAUCAUUUAUUCGUAAAAGAGGCUUGAGUCGGAGAUUCGAAUAGCCAUUGCAAAACGCCCUAGUUUACUGCCCGCAAAAAGAAUGUUACAGACAAAUUUUUGAGGAGUGGAAGGUUGCAAUGGUUCGGGUAAAAAGAAAAGGAUUCGCAAGAACGCAACGGCUCUAAAGAACACAAGGAAAGAAAGAAAAUCAUCUAAGCACAUCAAAGGGAGCCAACAACUAUGAUAUUCAAACUCUAUUAGUAUACCUGGAAGAAAAGAGAAUCAAUCAAGCAAGCAAGAGAUUCUCAAGCAUACAAGGGAGGAAAGAGAAUCAAUCAAACAAGCAAAGGACUCUCGAGCAUACAAGGAACGAAAGAGAAUCAAUUAAGAAAAUCAGCGAAAGUAUUUAAGAGAAGUUAAUUGGAUAGAUGAAGGAGCGAAACUACAAACUAAGAAUGAAUCUGGUUAUACGACACAAGCUAGAUUCAUGAGGCUACCCUUGGUUCCUACGGUUAGAAGAUUAUUCUUCACAAGGAAAAGUCCUACAAUCCAUGAUCUUCCACAAUCUUAGAAAAAGAGGAAUUAGAAGCUUCAUCGAGUAUUGAGGUUUUAAGUAUAUUAAAUGCUUAAAAGAGGGUGAAUGGGAAAUGGAGGAAAAUGAAAUUUUAAGCUCCCUCCUGAUGAAGGAACAUUGUCCUAUAUUGGAAGAGGAAAAUGUUUUUAAUGGUUUAUAAGCAAUUGCUCUUCUUCUAGCUCUUAAAGAAUUGAGAAGAAGGCAAACCUCGCGCCGUCAUCGCUCGCUUGGCUUCGGCUUCAGAUUGGGAUUGGAAUUGGGAUUUGAUUUGGAUUUGGUCAAAUGAUCGAUUGAUUGAUUAAUUUUUUGGACCA